GACGAACGCUGGCGGCGUGCUUAACACAUGCAAGUCGAACGGAAAGGCCCUGCUUUUGUGGGGUGCUCGAGUGGCGAUCGGGUGCGUAACACGUGAGUAACCUGCCCUUGACUUUGGGAUAACUUCAGGAAACUGGGGCUAAUACCGGAUAGGAGCUCCUGCUGCAUGGUGGGGGUUGGAAAGUUUCGGCGGUUGGGGAUGGACUCGCGGCUUAUCAGCUUGUUGGUGGGGUAGUGGCUUACCAAGGCUUUGACGGGUAGCCGGCCUGAGAGGGUGACCGGCCACAUUGGGACUGAGAUACGGCCCAGACUCCUACGGGAGGCAGCAGUGGGGAAUAUGGCACAAUGGGCGGAAGCCUGAUGCAGCAACGCCGCGUGCGGGAUGACGGCCUUCGGGUUGUAAACCGCUUUCGCCUGUGACGAAGCGUGAGUGACGGUAAUGGGUAAAGAAGCACCGGCUAACUACGUG
rnacentral:rRNA from 1 species